GACGAACGCUGGCGGCGUGCUUAACACAUGCAAGUCGAACGGAAAGGCCCUGCUUUUGUGGGGUGCUCGAGUGGCGAACGGGUGAGUAACACGUGAGUAACCUGCCCUUGACUUUGGGAUAACUUCAGGAAACUGGGGCUAAUACCGGAUAGGAGCUCCUGCUGCAUGGUGGGGGUUGGAAAGUUUCGGCGGUUGGGGAUGGACUCGCGGCUUAUCAGCUUGUUGGUGGGGUAGUGGCUUACCCAGGGUUGGACGGGUAGCCGGCCUGAGAGGGUGACCGGCCACAUUGGGACUGAGAGAGGGCCCAGACGCCUACGGGAGGCAGCAGUGGGGAGUAUUGCACAAUGGGAGGAAGCCUGAUGCAGCAGCGCCGCGUGCGGGAUGACGGCCUUCGGGUUGUAAACCGCUUUCGCCUGUGACGAAGCGUGAGUGACGGUAAUGGGUAAAGAAGCACCGGCUAACUACGUG
rnacentral:rRNA from 1 species